rnacentral:lncRNA from 1 species
GGGAAUAAACGCAGGCCACCCGAGCCAGCAACGGCAGACCUGCUGGGGUUCCCUUCCAUGCUGUGGAAGCCUUCUUCUUUCCCUCUUUGCCAUAAAUUUUGCUGCUGCUCACUCUUUGGGUCUGUGCUACCUUUGUGACCUGUAACACUCCCUGUGAAGGUGUGCAGCUUCAUUUCUGAGACCAGCGAGACCAGGAACCCACCGGGAGGGACGAACAACUCCAGAUGUGCAGCUUUAGGAGCUGUAACACUGACCGCCAAGCACUGCUGGGUUGAGGUCUCCACGACCGAGCUGGCCUUGGUAAGUGGCGCCCAAAUGUGGGGCUCGAACCUGGGUCGAAGUGCUGCCGGAGCAACGGUUGGAGAAUGUGGACCUACACUGGAGGACACCCGAGUACUCUUAAGCAAUCCCUGUGAGGACACUGGACGAAAAGCAGUUGCCCAAGUGACUAUUCGAGCAGCGCCUCGAGUGACCACUCUCAGUUCUAUUCAGGCAGGAAUCCAGCAAGCUAGACGAGAGGGUGAUAUGAAUGCUUGGCAGUUCCCUGUUAGAACACACCCACCUGAUCAACAGGGGAAUAUUAUAGCUACAUUUGAGCCUUUUCCUUUUAAAGUACUUAAAUAAUUUAAACAAGCUAGUAAUCAAUAUGGACCAGUUUCUCCUUUUGUGAUGUGACAGUUAAAGAAUGUUGCUGUCUCCAGUGGGAUGAUUUCUACUGACUGGGAUGCUUUUACUCGAGCUUGCCUGACUCUGCUCAGUUCUUACGAUUUAAAACUUGGUGGGCAGAUGAAGCUUCCAUUCAGGCUGCUUGCAACGCCCAGGCCCAACCUCAAAUUAAUAUAACUGCAGACCAACUUUUGGGGGUCGGCAGCUGGGUUGGUUUAGAUGCAUAAGUGGUAAUGCAGGAUGAUGCCAUAGAGCAGCUUAGAGGAGUGUGCAUUAGAGCAUGGGAAAAAUCACUUCAGGAGGAGAACAAUACCCUUCCUUUAGUGCUAUAAAAUAGGGACCAAAAGAACCAUAUGCAGAUUUUAUAGUUCGGUUACAGGAGUCUCUUAAAAAGGUGAUUGCAGAUUCGGCUGCUCAGGAUAUAGUGUUGCGGUUACUAGCUUUCAACAAUGCCAAUCCUGAGUGCCAAGCCGCUCUGCGACCUAUUAGAGGGAAAGCACAUUUAGUUGAUUAUAUUAAGGCCUGUGACAGUAUUGGAGGUAGUCUGCAUAAAGCUACUUUGUUGGCACAAGCUAUGGCAGAACUGAGAGUGGGUAAAGGAAAUACUGUGUUUCCUGGAGCUUGUUU